CCCGCCACACCACUGGAGGUGGUUGUACUCCGAAGGCGUUGCGCCAACCGCAAGGAGGCAGGCGACCACGGUAGGGUCAGCGACUGGGGUG
rnacentral:rRNA from 1 species